AUAAAUAUUUAAAUGUAUAAGGCCCGGUCUUUUCACCUCCGAAUAAAUAUGCUCUUAUCUGGCAGUUAGCUAUCUGGAGGAUAAAUAUUUAUUCGCCAGAUAAAAUGUACCCGUCUUUUCACGUCAAUUUAUGUUCCAGUUAGUUAUCCGGUAGAUAAGCUUAAAAGUAAGUUUGGAUUCCGAACACACCUGACUUUUAUGUUUAUUUUUAUAAUUUCAGCUUUAACUUAACCUAACAUAAUUAGAUUCAAAGUAUUUCAAAGAUGAUUUUAUCGAUUUUAUUUCCAUUUUGGAAGAAGGAAUGAAGGAAAUAAGGAAAACAUUGAUUAUGCUGAAAUAGUUUACUGGAGAGCUUGAACAAGAGGUAAAUCCAUUUUAAAUUAGAGGAAAACUGUUGAUUUGUAUGUAAAAUAGAAGACAAAGACAAGUUUAAAUAAAGACAAGCUAGCUAAUGAAACAGAUGCAGUGAUAUGACAAACACCUAGAAGAUGGAAUCCUGUGUUCUCAAAGAAAAAGCUAGUUCCAGAAAUAAGCUACCAAUAAUAAA
rnacentral:lncRNA from 1 species